rnacentral:lncRNA from 1 species
GUCCCAUGUUUUCCUUCCUUCUUCCUUUGGGGAAGUGUACCAGAUGCCUUCAGAGAUUGGAAUAUUCUCAUGGUUGUUUUUCUCGGGCGUAUUAAUAACGGACCCUCACAAUUGCUACUUCUUUAUGACCUCUGUCCGCACCGUCCCAUGAAAUCUCUAUUUCCUAAUAGUGCUAAUGUGAUCUGCACCCGUGCUGUGAAAGAGUGAGGCCCGGGCCACCCAAGCGGAACGUGGGCACUUGCCCUCUGUACCACAGGGCCGGUCCUGACUUGUACUUUUGGACCAACCUGUGGCCUGAACUUGGGAAGAUGUGGGCCUGUUUGGAUUAUUCGUGAAGGUGAUUAGUAGUAACAUCAUGGACGGUAACGUUUUCCGUUGGUUCCUGGGCUUAGCACGGAUCAGGUUCUCUUGGUAGUAUUCCUCUGCAUGUAUUUGGAAUGGUCUACCCUUCUGUAGCAUCAGUAAGCCUUUUGAGGUGAUUUUCCAUCCUUGGAAGUUCACCUUCUCUAAUCUCUUUCAGCCCCCAGAGCUGUAUGCCGUCAUUCUGGACCCCUUUUUGGAUUUUUGAUUGUAGGUGAAUUUAUUGCCAUAACCGUGCUUUAGAACAUCCUAUGUCUUUCAGAUUUACAUCCUCAUCGAUUUAGACUUCCGUGUAGGUGACAUCCUCUUCACCAGCGUAAGCCGAAUCACAGGCCCUCACCACACACUUGUGCCUCAUCAUCUCUUUCACCCUCCCCCACCACCCGCUUUGCCUCUGGGCACCCCCAAUCAAAUGUCCAGCGCCACCUGUUGGUUAGUGCUUCUUUUUUCUUCUCCUUGAAAGUGAGAUCCUACGGUAUUUGACUAUGUCCCUGGGGCCUGUUUCACUUCCCCUAAAACCCUCCCAGCCGUUCUGGUGGUCACAAAUGGCUGGAUUGCAUCCUUUGUUCCCGCUGAGUGGUAUGCCAUUGUGUGGCUAUAGCCCAUGUUCCUUCUCCAUUCUUCCCUUGCUGGGCACCAGGGCGGCUUCCAAGUCUUGGAGAGCGGGAGUAAGGCUGUGGUGAACUCAGCGGUGCACAUGUCUUUAGGCGGUUGUGUUUCCGAGUUCUUUGGCUAAACACGCCCCCGAGGAAUAGCUGGAUCCUAUGGGACAUGGAUUCUUAAAUUUCUGAGGCAGUUCUACACCCCCUCGGACGCCUGCCCCAGAAUGACUGAAGCAGUGGUGAGGAGGCUCACCCCCAGGAU